UCUCCAAGCGGCUGGUCCGCUCCGUUCUGGGGAAGGCUCGUUUAAUCGGCUGAGGUGGAGCAGAGGCCUGACUGCUUCUCUAGGUGAAGAUCAGACUCCUAUUUAGGUGCCUGCAUGACACUUGAAACCGUACCAUGAGCGGGAAAAAGAGAAGGUUCAUGUGGGACCUAGAACCUCCGGUAAUGCAGAUGGAGGGCCUCUCAAGGAAAACAACUCGCAUUGGACCGUCGCCGGCCACCACUGAGGCUUCUCCUCCUACAUGGGGACAAAUUAAAAAUUUGUGCCAACAGGCUGAACGGCUGGUAUGACAGGAGCACUGGCCAUUCACUCCCUCUAAUCUGGUGAUAGCUUUAUUUGCUAUUGUAACUACUACUGUAAGUAUGCUUCCUUUAGUAGAUGCCCAUGCUCGUAAUUAUACUUAUGGGGCAUAUAUCCCCAAUCCUCCUCUAUUACGGCCUAUGGAAUGGGAUGAUCCAGCCCCUCUUAUUUAUCUCCGUGAUACAGCAUGGCUUCCUGGCCCAGAGGAUGGCAGGCUACCAGAACAUCCUAAAGAGGAAGGCACUCAGUAUAAUUCUACUUUGGCCUUCUUACAUUUACUGCUAUGUUUGGGACACGCAACAGAAUGUUUAUCUUUUGAGCAACAAGCAUGGCUUUCAAUAAUUCCAAAGCAUGGAAAUGUCUCUCAUUCUAUGUUAUAUUUGUUGACAGGUCAGAGUUUUGCAUACCAACGUAAUAGUAGUAUAAAUGAUGAAACCCCACAGCGUCCUGUCUGCCAAGCGCUGAAGCAUUGGUCUCCAGACUUAAUGAGAAUACACUGGGAAACUUGUUGAGGGACUAAUGGAGUGCUACUGCUUAAUGGUUCCUAUGGAAUUGUAACUGACUGGUCCCCUAAGGGGUUCGCAGUGCAGAACUGCAGUGGCUGAAACAAGUCCUGUUCGGCACAUGAACAGUUAAGAUGGAAAAUUCAUAUGCAUAAUUUGGCAUCCCUUCUAAAUGAUACUAAUAGCAUGCAAACAGAAGCCAGAAAACCUAUAAUAUGACAUGGUAUGGGAAUGGUCUUUUUUAAACAAUUAUGCCCCUCAAACAUCUAUUUGGAAGAUUCCAAUGGCUCUACAGUAUAUUGAAAUAUGGAAUGGAACAUAUUCCCAUAAAAAUAAUUACACUUUAAACUUUACUAAGUUCAAACAGUUUAGUGUGCAAGCUUAUGUUAGAGAAGCAUAUGUAUUUUGGAUAGGUAAUCUCCCUCUUAACAUGAGUUCUAAGAAAGUUUCUUUUAAUGCUAAUGCCACUUGUGCAUUAUAUUCUUGUGCAAAUAGAACCUUAAGUAACAGCAAUCUUACCUUAAUUAUCUUACAAAGACAAAAGGGCCUCUGGAUACCAGUGACUCAGGAAAGGCCCUGGAAAUCAUCUCCUGAUAUGCAUAUACUAUUAACAUUAUUAAAUAAAGUGUUACAUAAAGUAAAAAGAUUUCUAAGUAUAUUAAUUGCAUUUAUUGUAGGUUUAAUGGCAAUAACCACUGCCGCUGCUGUAGCUGGCACCACACUUCAUCAGUCAGUAUAGACAGCACACUUUGUAUAAACAUGGCAUGAGAAUGGUAGUAAAGCUUGGGGAGAACAGCUGAAAAUUGAUAAAGAAGUUAACCAGCAUUUGGUUAACUUAUAAAAUGCUGUUCUCUUACUUGGAGAAGAAAUAGAAGAUCUAAGGCAUAGAAUACAAUUAACAUGUGAUUGGAACAUAACCACCUUUUGCAUAACUCCACAUAAAUACAAUUCUUUGGCAGUAAGCUGGGAUAAAAUUAAAAAACAUUUAAUGGGACAUCAUGAAAAUGUAUCUAUUGAUAUUUCCUAGCUACAAGCCAAUGUUUAUGCAAUUCAACAAGCAAAUCUCCAAAUUUUAUCCUCAUCUAAAAUCUUUUAGGGCAUUGCUGAUGGAAUACAACAACUAAAUCCUUUACCAUGGGUUAAAAGCUUAAGUAGUAAAAUGUUAAAAAGUGUCUUUAUAAUAUUAAUUUGUCUUUUAUGUUUAUGUCUAGUCCUCCAAUGCCCGAGACAAGCAGUCUCCGAUUUAACUGAGAAAUCUGCAAUUCCAGCCAUCACGUCUGCAAUAAGAAAACAGAAAGGGGGACAUGUGAGAAACAGGGCCUGAAGUUUCUCCUCUCCUUCCUGCAUACUUGCGGUGGGGGCCUGGAACACUGGGCCCCUGCUGAGACAGAACACUGCCAAGGCACACCUCGUUAAAGUAAGCCCGGAUGUGAGAAUGUGGCUGAAGGACUGUUUUCUGUUAUUGUCCUUGAGAUUAAGGUAAGGGCUGUUUGCAGACUGAUGUAAAUAACCAUGGGAAAAUAUCUACGUGCACAGUAAAGCCUUACUCUACCCUAAAAGCAUAAUAAAUAAGGGUCUGGGGAACGGGACUCACACACUCCCCCGACAGGCAGUGUGUCCCCUGCUCCCAGUCUCCAAAAGAUA